rnacentral:lncRNA from 1 species
GCCUCAUAAAAAUAUUUCUGACAUCUCCGCCAAUUUUCAUAAUUUUCUGACACUGUGCAUUUUCUGCUAAUUUAUCUGCCCCGUUUCUUACAGAAAAUUCUAAAUCUUCUGUUUUCGCUUCGAUUUCAGAACAGGUCUUUCCCAACUUAUAUUUCACUUCUCUAAAUCCAAUAAAAAUAGUAUCUCAUACUAUUUUUAUUUAUUUUCACUUUUAUAUUUAAAAUCCGAUAUGUUACAUUCCACCGUAACCUUACCGGAACCAUUUAAAUGUACACCGUAACUUCAUAGUUUUAGAAGUCCGGUACCUUACAUCCUCCCCUCCUUAAUAAGAGUUUCGUCCCCGAAACUCACUCACUUCAACCCAAUUCACACUCUAAUUCUCUUUAUUGAGUGACAAGGGGUACAGUGCACUUUUGCAUCUCG